UAUUACAUAUGUAAGUCACUCACGAUUGGUUACAAUCAUUACGGUCGUACGAACUUCAAGCAGUGCUUCUACGUACUAAGAUAAAACAGAUGUCUAAUACAACAAAGUUUCUCUUUCAAAGUGUCGACAAUGAAGAUCUGUGAAAAAGAAAACGUAACGCAUCGUACACAACAUUCCCCGGCCACUAACAUUACACUAGACAGUAGACAGUAAGACAGUCAAUUAAAGUUUACAUUUUCCUUGACGUCAAUGGCUGAACUGAAAAAAUGUUGGUCAAGUUCCGCGUAAAAGAGUAUUAUCACGAUGAGAAUCGAAUAAAGAUCAGUGACGAACUGAUUGUAAUUAUUUGAUGCAGAGUUUCGUGUCCCAGAGGGAUUCAUAAGGACUCAGGAAAUUGUCAGAAAGCUGUAAAUCACCUUCAGCUUCUUCCAGCGCUACCACAAGACAGACUCGUGAUACUUAUUACGGCUUAAACAUGAAAACCACAAGUCUGUCACGAUUGCAGGCCAAAUACUAAAUCGCAUAUAGAUAAGUAUCUACGUGAUUUCUUCGGCUUAUUUCGCGAGCAACUGCGUUGCCCAGUACGGUUCGUCUGUUACGACAUUCACAUGUAGCGGAAGGAGUUAAUGAGGGAUGCAUACACACAUGGAGCGGUGUAAAAAACGACCUCUCUUUGGAAUUCUCUUUCUCGGAAAAUAUGAGUAUUUUCUUUUACUAAUUUACUCGUAUCUUUGAUUGUAAUUAUUAGUUUUAUAAAAGUAUUUACGUCAUACUGCAGUUACAACGGGUAAUUGAAAAUUCGCCAUUUACUGCAGUAAUUUGUGAUGCUCGUACUAAUGUAAACAUUUUACAUCGAACUAUUUACCUAAUGUAUAUUUAAUACUGACAUUAAUCAUUUUUUAGCUUCUAGCUUUUAACCCAACAGAAAAAUAUUAUUUUAAUUCGGGCGUAUCCUAAUAAUAUUCUAAUAGUCUAUUUUUAAAUCCCCAAUUUUCAAGAUCUAAACGAACGAAUAUCAAUUUUUCUAGGAACAAUAGAAUAAACCGUGCUAUAAACAUCCGUAAAUGUAGUAUUAAGAAUAUUUUUAAUUUUCUUGUUUCUAUUCGCCAUGAGCGUUUCAAUCAUUUGCAUCGAUUUUUAGGACACACGUUUAUUCCGAAAGGGGCAACACCGAGAAACAGCAUCAUGAUUAACACUGUAUAAAGCAUUAUGUAUAACCAAGAAGUAACUAAAUGAAUUAUAAAAAAAGCUGAAAGCUUAUUUACUAUAUACCGUUACCUAUAUUAUAAAUUAUCAAGUCUUGAGAGUUGAUUAAUAGGUAUGAAAAUUGGUUAACCCUUUGCGGACAAAUGUCGACAUUUCGGCGAAAUGAAAUGUUGAUGUUUCUGGUUUUCCUAUUAUUUAAGCAAUUGGUAUAUAAUUUAGCUUCGUCUGCUGAAAGUUUUGUAUACUUCAAAGGAUCUUCGUCCGCUAAGUGUUAAAUACUAAUGUUAUUAUGUAUCUGUUCGAAUACUGUGACGGAGUUAUUGGUGACCACAUAAUUACUUGAAAGCAAUAGCGUGCACAAUGACGGAGAUAAAUAUUGACGUUGAGUGGGGAGCUUGAAGUGAGUUGCUCGGUCCGCGUUAGCUAUUCAGUAAACGGCAAUUAAAAGAGAAAUUUCUUUCAAAUAAUAGACAUUGGUACUAGAGGAGCUGCUUUUUAAGGAAGAGACAUGGAGGAAGUUCUAGGAGAGUUUUCAUUUUACAAUUGCUAAAUGAGACUUCAGCAAGUCAAAAUAUUGUCAAAAUUACAUAUUUAGAGUACACAUUCUUCAAUUAUUUUUUUGACAUGUUUGUAAAACUGUUUUCAUGUCUGUAAAGAACCCACGAUUUUCAGUUUCAGUAAUCGAAAAUCCCUCCGAAAUGAGAAAUUUAACCCUUUGCGGACGAACGUCCGCAUUUUGCAUUGUUCAAUCCUCCAUGCUUGGAAUACCAAGUUGCAAAGAAAUGAUUGAAUCAUUCGAACAGCAAGAAAUCAGUACAAAGUUUCCUUAUUCUGUCUGAUUUAAGCAUUCAGUGUUUUAUUUAGCAGAAUUUGCAAAAGCUUUUGUAUACUUCCAACAAUCUUCGUCCGCAAAGGGUUAAAUACAAAAUUUUGCUGCCCGGAUAGUCAGUACCUAUAUGCUUCAACUGAUAUGUACGAUCCAAAAUAAGUGGUUAUCAACAUUCAACGGGUGAAGGUCUAACACGUUUACGAUUUUUUCGAAUUCAACUCACCUGAAGAAUUAGCGUUUUCAGCUCUUGGUCGCUGAGAAAUGCCGGUUUGUAGUGACCCUCCGUGUAUGAGGUCACAGCUCCGAGGAUAGUCUUAAGGUGUUGGACUGCCAUUCUGAGCACUGUCAGCUUGUCCAAUUUCCGGGACAUCGCGUGGCACAUCGGUAUCAUCGCCGAUAACUCCGUGAUGUAGGUGUUCAUUUUGUCCCUUCUUCUUUUCUCGAUCUCGCUGUGAUUUUGUCUGUAACGCAGCAGAAGAAGAAAAUCUUUACUGAAUUACUGAUUCAUAAGAACAAGAUUGUAUCAUAUACGAUGUCAUUCAAACCAAUCUCGAUAUUUAUCUUAAGCAUUCGUCCUGUGAAAUACCGCGAACGUUCUCACGCAAGAAUAAUUAGCUGAUGAAGGAAAGGAAUUCAAGAAAUGCAGAGAGAAAACAUAGACGUGUCAAAUACACCCGUUUCUGUCAAUUAAUUAAUUGAUGAAUUAUUUUCCUUACUUCUUCAGUUUGCUUAUUUUUCGAUAGUCGAAUAAUUUCCAGUAGUCAUAUUAGCUUUGGUAUCAUUCUUACUGGGUUUGUACUUCAUAUAAAAUUCUGAUAAUAUU